rfam:Bacterium TMED181 isolate TMED181 MHASMcontig_371151, whole genome shotgun sequence.
CCGGGUGAUCAUAGUGGAGGGGCCACACCCGUUCCCUUUCCGAACACGGAAGUUAAGUCCUCCACGCCGAUGGUAGUGGUUAAUCCUGCGAGAGUAGGUCGUUGCCCGGU